AUCCAUUCUCACAAUUAGCAUCAUUUGUAACAAAUCUAUGAACAAAUACAUACGUUUGUGUAUGGAGUUCACAACUGAAUCAAAUCAGACAUUCAUAUGAAAGAUGUAAAUAAUUAAGAGAAUAUAUAUACUACAAAGUAGAACUAAGCUUUCCAUACAUUAUACAUAAUAUGUGUUCAUUUAAAGACUAAUUCUUGCGUAGUUGCUGCUUGCUCCUGCAAUGUGUUCCAAUUCUAAACUCUCAGCUAGCCUGGAAGAAAUUUUUUGACAAAGAGAAGCUUAGAACAUAAGCUCUUGGAUUAGUACAAGAUGAAAUGUUCUUUGAUAAAACUAUGAGAGAAGUACCGUAGAAAUGUCUUGAGGUUGUCUUGG
rnacentral:lncRNA from 1 species